rnacentral:lncRNA from 1 species
CUUUGUCCAAGCAAUGGUCAGUUAAUCAAAAAAAGAAAAGAAAAAUGGGGAAGGGGAUGCUUAUAAAUUCGGGGCAUAAAAUAUUGCACCUAGCAUUAGAGAAGGGAUUUCAUUUCCCAUUAUUUGUUUUAACUGUGGUCCACCAUUCAUUCAUAUGGCACCAUAAGACUAGCCAUAGGAAACAAUAGGUUAAUUGGAUAAUGUGGAGUAACAUACACCUGUUAACGACAACAAAUGUAUUUUCCAACCCUCACAGGUGUGUGCAAGUGUUUCCCAGAGCUGCUGUGCUUUUAUGGCUCUAAGGAAGCAGGAGGAACACAGCCAGUUUUAUUCACCAUACUGCUCUGGAGACAGGCAGGCUCACUUUAACACACUGUCCUCUUGGGCUUCUUCUGCCAGUUCUCUCUCAAUGAGCCUUUGCUCAUCCGGCUUCUUUUUCUUCUCAGCUGCUAUACUCCUCUCCUCUUCUGCCUGGGUUUUCAGGUAA